rnacentral:rRNA from 1 species
GACGAACGCUGGCGGCGUGCUUAACACAUGCAAGUCGAAAGAAGUGGCGAACGGGUGAGUAACGCGUAAUCAACAUGCCCUUCAGAGGGGGACAACAGUUGGAAACGACUGCUAAUACAGCAUACUGAAGGAGGGGAUUGCGUCUGAUUAGCUAGUUGGAGGGUUAAUGGCCCACCAAGGCGAUGAUCAGUCGCCGUUCUUAGCGUAUGAACGGCCAAAUUGGGACUGGUACACGGCACAUACUCCUACGGGAGGCAGCAGUGGGGAAUCGUCCGCAAUGGACGAAAGUCUGACGGAGCAACGCCGCGUGAGUGAUGACGGCCUUCGGGUUUUAAAGCUCUGUUAAUCGGGACGCGGUACCGGAAUAGAAUGCCACGGCUAACUACGUUCCAGCCGCCGCGGUAAUAC